UGAUUCAAGCUCCAUUGCAAUAUCUAGA
rnacentral:sRNA from 1 species